AGGAUGAACGCUGGCGGCGUGCCUAACACAUGCAAGUCGAGCGAUUACUUCGGUAAAGAGCGGCGGACGGGUGGAGUAACGCGUGGGCAACCUGCCUCAUACACAUGGAUAACAUACCGAAAGGUAUGCUAAUACAGGAUAAUGUAAGAGAUUCACAUGGAUUUCUUAUCAAAGCUCCGGCGGUAUGAGAUGGACCCGCGUCUGAUUAGCUAGUUGGUAAGGUAAUGGCUUACCAAGGCGACGAUCAGUAGCCGACCUGAGAGGGUGAUCGGCCACAUUGGAACUGAGACACGGUCCAAACUCCUACGGGAGGCAGCAGUGGGGAAUAUUGCACAAUGGGCGAAAGCCUGAUGCCAGCAACGCCGCGUGAGUGAUGAAGGCCUUCGGGUCGUAAAACUCUGUCCUCAAGGAAGAUAAUGACGGUACUUGAGGAGGAAGCCCCGGCUAACUACGUGCCAGCAGCCGC
rnacentral:rRNA from 1 species